rnacentral:rRNA from 1 species
AUGUACCUACGGGAGGCAGCAGUGGGGAAUAUUGGACAAUGGGGGGAACCCUGAUCCAGCGACGCCGCGUGAGUGAAGAAGUAUUUCGGUAUGUAAAGCUCUAUCAGCAGGGAAGAAAGAAAUGACGGUACCUGACUAAGAAGCCCCGGCUAACUACGUGCCAGCAGCCGCGGUAAUACGUAGGGGGCAAGCGUUAUCCGGAUUUACUGGGUGUAAAGGGAGCGUAGACGGCGAUGCGAGUCUGAAGUGAAAGGCGGGGGCCCAACCCCCGGACUGCUUUGGAAACUGAAUAGCUGGGUGGCGGG